rnacentral:rRNA from 1 species
AAAUUGAAGAGUUUGAUCAUGGCUCAGAUUGAACGCUGGCGGCAGGCCUAACACAUGCAAGUCGAACGGUAACAGGAAACAGCUUGCUGUUUCGCUGACGAGUGGCGGACGGGUGAGUAAUGUCUGGGAAACUGCCUGAUGGAGGGGGAUAACUACUGGAAACGGUAGCUAAUACCGCAUAACGUCGCAAGACCAAAGAGGGGGACCCUCGGGCCUCUUGCCAUCGGAUG